rnacentral:rRNA from 1 species
GUAGCGGUGGAAUGCGUAGAUAUAUGGAAGAACACCAGUGGCGAAGGCGGCUCUCUGGUCUGCAACUGACGCUGAGGCUCGAAAGCAUGGGUAGCGAACAGGAUUAGAUACCCUGGUAGUCCAUGCCGUAAACGAUGAGCGCUAGGUGUUGGGGACUUUCCGGUCCUCAGUGCCGCAGCAAACGCAUUAAGCGCUCCGCCUGGGGAGUACGACCGCAAGGUUGAAACUCAAAGGAAUUGACGGGGGCCCGCACAAGCGGUGGAGCAUGUGGUUUAAUUCGAAGCAACGCGAAGAACCUUACCAGGUCUUGACAUCUUUUGAUCACCUGAGAGAUCAGGUUUCCCCUUCGGGGGCAAAAUGACAGGUGGUGCAUGGUUGUCGUCAGCUCGUGUCGUGAGAUGUUGGGUUAAGUCCCGCAACGAGCGCAACCCUUAUGACUAGUUGCCAGCAUUUAGUUGGGCACUCUAGUAAGACUGCCGGUGACAAACCGGAGGAGUGGGAUGACGUCAAAUCAUCAUGUACCCC